UCCAAUUACAACUCACUCUUAAAUAAAUACAUCCACCAUAAUCUUUCUCAAACCAAGUAUUACAAGUUAAUUACUAAAUGAAAGAAGAGAAGAUGAUUCAGAUUCACAGCAUCAAAAUUUAUCUUAUUUUUUUCAAAUCCAUACUUCGAGCUACAUCAAAGGGCAUCCAUAUGAUCGAAGAAUACCUGGAAAUGAGCAAAGCAAAUAAACGAUGUGAAGAAUUUGCAGUCAAGCAACAGCAGUACAACAGAAUCAACACCAGCAGAAUCAACUCAAACCAAAAUGAGUAUGAAAGUAGUAAACACAGUCCCCCUCUAACAGUAACUACAUCAACUUCACAAACUAAACCUUAAACAGCGACUUCAAUCCAUUUUAACGCUAGAAAAAUUAGAAAACCUUUUCAGAAAUUGAAAACUUGCGAAAUCACAGGAUAAUUUUCAAUGAAACAGUAACUUCAUUCCAAUUUUUCAGCCGUUUUUAAAUUUUGGAUUUUUUCUUUCCUUUUUCUCUUGGUUCCCCCUUUAAAGGCAAGUUUAGGAUGCCUUUAUAUGCAAGGGACAAGGGCAGACCUUAGGAUUUUAACUUUGCCCUCUGCCUCCCUCUUUAAUUCUCAUUUUUAGCUACUUGACCCCUCAUUUACUGACUUGUUCCCCAAGCUAACCUACUAUACUUCUGAAAUUUAAUAAAAACCCCUCACUAGAAGCUUCAUAUUUCUGUUAUGAAAGAUUCUCUGAUCUAAACUACCCAAACUACCCUUUAAAGACCCUGAAAUUACCUUUAACCAAGACCGGUCAUGGGUUGAUUCGACCCAAUUGAAUUAAUUCAAGCUCAGCCCAAACCAGUAAAUCAGAAGAUUGAUUAAAGGCAUAAACCUAAGCCCAGACCAAAUCGAAUUGAUUGAAACAAAUGCUCAUAACAAAAACGAGUCUGAACAACUUCAAAAACAGAAAUCAAGUACGGGGCUAGAAUUAAAGAAAUUACUAGAUAAAACUAACCUAAUUAAUCAAGCUAAGUGACCUAAUAUGUUUAAAAUAACAUGCAUAAUAAACAGCCCAUAAACGAACACAAAAGACCUAAUGGGACAACAAAUAAUAGAAGAAAUGAAGGAGUAGAAAAGAAAGAGAACUGAGAAGAAGAAAAGAGAUAAACCUAAGAGGACCCGGACAAAAGGGCAUAAGGAACAACCUUCAACUCAUCGAUUCCGACCCGAUCCGAAGUUAAUCGUAUGUUUUUUUUAAUAUCAAAAACACACGAGUAACAUCGAUUUAGGCCUAAAAUCUUCUAACCCUCGCCGAUUCGGACCUUUGGACUUUUAGGGUUGUCCCUUAAAAUCCAGAUUCGAGGAGUUUCACUAAUAUUCGAGGGAAACGGAGUGGAUUUCUGGAAUGAGGGUGAGACGGGGGUUCAGGGGUGUUAUUUUGGGGCCAAUUGGAUGAGUUAGGGUUUUAGUCGUUCUCUUUGAUUCAAUAUUUGAGAGGUUGGGUUGGUAUUCGAGGGAGGGGGUUUGGAGAUUUGGAAAGAGGAGAAGAAGAGGAGUCUAUGGUGUAAAAAUGGGGUCGAUUGGAGCAACGCCGCCGGCGGAGGCGAUUUCCGGUAGGCGGCUCACGGCAGAGGUGGUGAGGGGUUCUCUGAGUGUGUGUG
rnacentral:lncRNA from 1 species